rnacentral:tRNA from 1 species
UCCCUGGUGGUCCAGUGGUUAAGAAUCUGCCUUGCAAUGCAGGGGGCACAGGUUCGAUCCCUGGUCAGGGAA